rnacentral:rRNA from 1 species
AACGAACGCUGGCGGCAUGCCUAACACAUGCCAGUCGAACGAGACCUUCGGGUCUAGUGGCGCACGGGUGCGUAACGCGUGGGAACCUGCCCUUAGGUUCGGAAUAACUCCCCGAAAGGGGUGCUAAUACCGGAUAAUGUCUUCGGACCAAAGAUUUAUCGCCUUUGGAUGGGCCCGCGUUGGAUUAGCUAGUUGGUAGGGUAAAAGCCUACCAAGGCGACGAUCCAUAGCUGGUCUGAGAGGAUGAUCAGCCACACUGGGACUGAGACACGGCCCAGACUCCUACGGGAGGCAGCAGUGGGGAAUAUUGGACAAUGGGCGAAAGCCUGAUCCAGCAAUGCCGCGUGAGUGAUGAAGGCCUUAGGGUUGUAAAGCUCUUUUACCCGGGAUGAAAUGACAGUACCGGGAGAAUAAGCUCCGGCUAACUCCGUG